rnacentral:tRNA from 1 species
GCCGAGGUGGUGGAAUUGGUAGACACGCACGCUUGAGGGGCGUGUGGGGUAACCCGUGCGAGUUCAAAUCUCGCUCUCGGCACCA